rnacentral:rRNA from 1 species
CGUAGCCGAUGGACAACAGGUUGAGAUUCCUGUACUGCAGUAAGACAGAACUGUGGGGACACGUGUGGAGAGCAUAGGCGCGGGAUGGAAAGCCGCGUGCAAGCGAGGUAGGAGUCCUGUAGGAAAAACCGCAGGGCAAUCCGAAGGCGUGAUGCGGACCGAAAUCUAGUAGGGAAGUAUGUGAGCCAUGCGUCAAGAAAAGCCGCUAUUGUUCUUAUUGUACCCGUACCGUAAACCGACACAGGUGGAUGAGGAGAGAAUCCUAAGGCCGACGGAAGAAGCAUUGUUAAGGAACUCGGCAAAAUGACCCCGUAACUUCGGGAGAAGGGGUGCCACAGAAAUGUGGCCGCAGAGAAUAGGCUCAAGCAACUGUUUAGCAAAAACACAGGUCUAUGCAAAACCGAAAGGUGAGGUAUAUGGGCUGACGCCUGCCCGGUGCUGGAAGGUUAAGAGGAGAGGUUAGCGCAAGCGAAGCUUUGAAUUGAAGCCCCAGUAAACGGCGGCCGUAACUAUAACGGUCCUAAGGUAGCGAAAUUCCUUGUCGGGUAAGUUCCGACCCGCACGAAAGGCGUAAUGAUUUGAGCGCUGUCUCGACAAUGCAUCCGGUGAAAUUGAAGUACCAGUGAAGAUGCUGGUUACCUGCGCCAGGACGGAAAGACCCCAUGGAGCUUUACUCCAGCUUGAUACUGGGAUUCGGUAUUGCAUGUACAGGAUAGGUGGGAGGCUGAGAAUCGGUAACGCCAGUUGCCGAGGAGCCGUUGUUGGGAUACCACCCUUGCAGUACUGGGUUUCUAACCAGCAGCCGUGACCCGGCUGGGGGACAAUGUCAGGUGGGGAGUUUGACUGGGGCGGUCGCCUCCGAAAGGGUAUCGGAGGCGCUCAAAGGUUCCCUCAGAAUGGUUGGAAACCAUUCGAAGAGUGCAAAGGCAGAAGGGAGCUUGACUGCGACACCGACGGGUGGAGCAGGUACGAAAGUAGGACUUAGUGAUCCGGUGGUAUUAAGUGGGAAUGCCAUCGCUCAACGGAUAAAAGCUACCCUGGGAUAACAGGCUUAUCACUCCCAAGAGUUCACAUCGACGGAGUGGUUUGGCACCUCGAUGUCGGCUCAUCGCAUCCUGGGGCUGUAGUAGGUCCCAAGGGUUGGGCUGAUCGCCCAUUAAAGCGGUACGCGAGCUGGGUUCAGAACGUCGUGAGACAGUUCGGUCCCUAUCCGGCGUGGGCGUAGGAUAUCUGAGAGGAGCUGUCCUUAGUACGAGAGGACCGGGAUGGACGGACCGCUGGUGUACCUGUUGCAGUGCCAGCUGCAUGGCAGGGUAGCCAAGUCCGGAAGGGAUAAACGCUGAAGGCAUCUAAGCGUGAAGCCCCCCUCAAGAUGAGAUAUCCCAUUUGAAAGAAGUAAGACCCCUUGAAGACGACGAGGUAGAUAGGGCAGAGGUGGAAGUGCAGUAAUGUAUGGAGCUGACUGUUACUAAUCGGUCGAGGGUUUGAUC